CUUGCGGCCAUAUAACGUUGAAACAUUGGUUUCCGUAUGAUUACUGACGUUAAGCAAUAUCGAGCCUGGUCAGUACCUAGAAGGGUGAUCGCUUGGGAAUAUAAGGUGCC